UACGUAGGGGGCAAGCGUUGUCCGGAAUUAUUGGGCGUAAAGCGCGCGCAGGCGGUCCUUUAAGUCUGAUGUGAAAGCCCACGGCUCAACCGUGGAGGGUCAUUGGAAACUGGGGGGACUUGAGUACAGAAGAGAAGAGUGGAAUUCCACGUGUAGCGGUGAAAUGCGUAGAGAUGUGGAGGAACACCAGUGGCGAAGGCGACUCUUUGGUCUGUAACUGACGCUGAGGCGCGAAAGCGUGGGGAGCAAACAGG
rnacentral:rRNA from 1 species